UACGAAGGGGGGCUAGCGUUGCUCGGAAUCACUGGGCGUAAAGCGCACGUAGGCGGAUCGAUCAGUCAGGGGGUGAAAUCCCAGAGCUCAACUCUGGAACUGCCUUUUGAUACUGUCGAUCUGGAGUAUGGAAGAGGUGAGUGGAAUUCCGAGUGUAGAGGUGAAAUUCGUAGAUAUUCGGAGGAACACCAGUGGCGAAGGCGGCUCACUGGUCCAUUACUGACGCUGAGGUGCGAAAGCGUGGGGAGCGAUCCGG
rnacentral:rRNA from 1 species